GACAGAGGAUGCAAGCGUUAUCCGGAAUGAUUGGGCGUAAAGCGUCUGUAGGUGGCUUUUUAAGUCCGCCGUCAAAUCCCAGGGCUCAACCCUGGACAGGCGGUGGGAACUACCAAGCUGGAGUACGGUAGGGGCAGAGGGAAUUUCCGGUGGAGCGGUGGAAUGCGUAGAGAUCGGAAAGAACACCAACGGCGAAAGCAGUCUGCUGGGCCAACACUGACACUGAGAGACGAAAGCUAGGGGAGCGAAUGGG
rnacentral:rRNA from 1 species